AUCCAAGAUGGCGGCGCCCUGUAGUAAAUUGACAGAUGGCAGUUUUAUAUACUUAUUUUGGUUAUAAGACUGCUUUUAAAAGGAUUUCCCAGCACAGCUACCUCAACCCACAAGUUGACCAGUCAGAGGAAGCCUUCUCCUGGUUGCGACCUGACCUUGACCUUCUCCGAGAUUUAGCAAGAGAGAAAUUUGGCUGGAGGAAAGAAAAAGGUGGACGAGAAUCUCCUUCCUGUGAUGAAGAAGAUGAACGAGAAACAGG